rnacentral:rRNA from 1 species
CGGCAGGCUUAACACAUGCAAGUCGAGGGGCAGCACGAUGAGUAGCAAUACGAAUUGGUGGCGACCGGCAGACGGGUGCGUAACGCGUAUACAACCUACCCUUGAAAGGGGAAUAACCCGGAGAAAUUCGGACUAAUACCCCGCUAAGUAUUCGAUUGGCAUCGAUUGAAUAUGAGAGAUUUAUCGUUCAAGGAUGGGUACGCGUGACAUUAGGAAGUUGGUGAGGUAACGGCUCACCAAUCCGACGAUGUCUAGGGGUUCUGAGAGGAAGGUCCCCCACACUGGUACUGAGACACGGACCAGACUCCUACGGGAGGCAGCAGUGAGGAAUAUUGGUCAAUGGACGAGAGUCUGAACCAGCCAUGCCGCGUGCAGGAAGAAUGCUCUAUGAGUUGUAAACUGCUUUUAUACAAGAAUAAUAAGCACGACGUGUCGUGUGAUGAAUGUAUUGUAUGAAUAAGGACCGGCUAACUCCGUGCCAGCAGCCGCGGUAAUACGGAGGGUCCACCCGGGCUUGAAAGUUAGUGACCGGUGGUGAAAGCCACUUUUCCAGCAAUGGACACGAAACUAGGUGCUGCAUGGUUGUCGUCAGCUCGUGCCGUGAGGUGUCGGGUUAAGUCCCAUAACGAGCGCAACCCCCUGUCGUUAGUUGCUAGCAGGUAAUGCUGAGGACUCUAACGAGACUGCCGGUGUAAACCGAGAGGAAGGUGGGGAUGACGUCAAAUCAGCACGGCCCUUACGUCCGGGGCGACACACGUGUUACAAUGGAUGGUACAAAGGGUUGCAACAUAGCGAUAUGAAGCUAAUCUCAAAAAGCCAUUCUCAGUUCGGAUCGCAGGCUGAAACUCGCCUGCGUGAAGUUGGAUUCGCUAGUAAUCGCACAUCAGCCAUGGUGCGGUGAAUACGUUCCCGGGCCUUGUACACACCGCCCGUCAAGCCAUGGAAGUUGGGGGUGCCUGAAGUACGUGUGCGUCGCAGCAGC